ACAUCGCGUCGCCACACCUCGACUCUCCUCCGCUCUCCCAUCUGACCCCCCUCCUGCCUACCGCCCCCUCUCUCCUCGUCCGCUGUGCUGCGUCGUCUGCCUUCCACCCCUUCCGUGGCCUCUCCCGUCUUCCUCGGCGCCGCCCUUCGCACUCUCUCGCUCUUGUGUGUUUUCGCCCAUGACGCCGAGUAUACCAGUCAUUGUCUACGUGGUCCUGCAGUUCGUGGCGUUCUUCUUCGUGCUGGUGGGAACGCCGAUUGACAUGUUCCGCAGCAGCAACAGCAGUGUUUUCGUUGGCCAGUGCAUCACUCUAUGGGGUUUUAAACGUGACUGUCUCUCUUUGAACUACGUUCGCACAACCGAUAUGUCUUUUGAAAAGUGCCCAUCACGCAUCACCCGAUUCCGCCUUGCGCAGGGAUGCGCCAUCAUCUCCAUCCUAGUGUACGGCGGAGCGUUCAUGCUGGGCUUUAUUUUGCUGUUCUGCUGCUCUUUGCUCCGGUGGGUCUGCCUGGUACUCAACGUGGUCGGCAUGGUCACCUCGUGCAUUGUGUGGGCGGCCAUGGCAGUGACAUACAACAAGACUGACGACAGAGUGUGCCUGCCGGUAAAAACACUGGGAAGAUAUGGUGCCGGCUUCGUGCUCUUUGUGCUGGCCUGGAUACUGGAUGUCAUCAACAUCAUCCUGUUGCUCCUUCCCUAUGACGGCGUGGACGCUGGAGCGAAUCGAAAGGCAGAGCUGCCGACCGCGCAGGAGUAGAAUGGAGGCACCAAGAGGCAACGGGGGGGGCUUGACAGCGGCGCGGCCCCUCCCCCACACUGGCGUCCUCGUGGUGGAGCCGGUGUCGGCGAGGAUGUGGGUGCGCAAGCUGCGGGUUCCCGUGUGUGCCCUUCGCCGGCCCAGCCCUCUCGCUGCCCUGUCCUUCGUGCAUGCGUGUGCGGCACGCCGUGCACCGGGACAGCUGCCGAGGGGUGGUUGCGGCACUUCCUCCAGGAGUGCUGAUGGCACACGGCGCCUGUAUGCGUGUGUGUCUGUGUGCAGGCGCCCCCUGCGACCCUCCUCCCUCUUCUUCCGUGAGCGGCCCCCGCGACCGCGCCCCUCCCUCGCCUACGCUGCCGUUGCUCGCGCGUCUCUGUUUUCGUGCGUUAUUCGCGGGUGCCGCCGCACGCUCUCGCGCUCCUUGAUGCUCGUUUCUCUUUCGGGUUCUGCGAUGCUUGCUGUUCUCUCCUCCGCGCAG
rnacentral:misc_RNA from 1 species